AUACGAACCGUACGAACGUUAUUCGGAAUCACUGGGCUUAAAGAGUGCGUAGGCGGCCAGGCAAGUUGGGUGUGAAAUCCCUCGGCUCAACCGAGGAACUGCGCCCAAAACUGCAUGGCUUGAGAAAGAUAGAGGUGAGCGGAACUAAUGGUGGAGCGGUGAAAUGCGUUGAUAUCAUUAGGAACACCAGUGGCGAAAGCGGCUCACUGGGUCUUUUCUGACGCUGAGGCACGAAAGCUAGGGGAGCGAACGGGAUUAGAUACCCCGGUAGUCCUAGCUGUAAACGUUGAGCACUGGGUCGAGGGGGUUUCCACACCUUCUCGGCCGUAGCGAAAGUGUUAAGUGCUCCGCCUGGGGAGUAUGGUCGCAAGGCUGAA
rnacentral:rRNA from 1 species